rnacentral:lncRNA from 1 species
GUACUUUUACAGAUUAUUUUUAGAAUAUGUUUAGUGCUGAACUUUUCUCUGCCACUCCCUGGACUACAACUCCAUCUUAGUUUAACAAAGAAAUCUAACAGAGGGGGAGAGCUUUCAGUGCUUCCAAAUCAAUUCAUGCCCGAUCUGUAUGCGAGGAAUAUGUUGUAUCUUGAACCAUUCGGGCCCACUCUCCCUCCUGCAUCUUUCUUCUAGAAUAGUACAUUGAAAUAUUUUCAGGUAUUGUAGGCUAUGUGACUCAUGAAACGUAGGCAAACUCUUCAAAUUAUUACAAUUCCAAAUACGUAACCGCUCAAGAGAUGGAAGGUUUGCCAGUGAUUCUGGAAGAGCUUCACUCCUUCGAAAUCAUUUAUGUACAACAGAGUCAAUGCAGGGAACAUAGAGGAGAGACGAUCAUCGAGCUCCCCAUUCAGAAGUAUUGACCUUACCUUCUUCCAACCGUACAGGGUCAGUGAGGUCAGUUUAGGAAACAAAAUUACAGAUGAGAAGGAGGGCCAGGGAAAUUCGUUUAGUUCAUCCGAGAAGGGACCUAAUAUCAUCUUUUCAAGUCUUGACCUUGUACUAGGGACAGAUACUAAUUCUGAAAGAGAGGGGCAUCUCACAAUAAUAAGAUAUUUUAGGGCACCUUCAACUACAUUAAUGCUAGUUAGAUUAAGGCAAUCACUCACUUCUAGUUCCUCAAGAACUAUACCAAUGGUCAGAAAUUUCAAGCCCGGGCAGUUAUCUAGGUUCAAAGUUUUCGAAGACAAAGAAUUGGUUUCCAAGAGCUCGUCAAUUAGAUAGUACACAUUUGAUGGAGAGCCUCCAUUUCUGUCCCUGAUACUCCUCAGCCGUAGAUUCACUAGAGAGCUAAUCUUCCUGCUCAUUGUUUCUAGGAUCUUGCUACUGUCCAGAUUUGUGAUAACCAACUCCCUAAGUUUAGAAAAUAAAAACAGGGUAUUUGGAAUCAUUCUCAACUUUGAACAACGCUCAAUUUUCAGUACCUCAAGUUUUGGAAAUACUGGCACCAUAUUUUGGUCUUCAUUGCCAGUGGAGAUAUUUGGUCUUCAUCGCCAGUGGAAACGAGUGUUGUUAAUGAUGGAUACAUCGUUGCAACUGUUUUUACAGACCCCCUGUAACUCAAACCACUACUAGUGCUAGCUAGACCUCCACAGAAAUCUCUCCCGAUAACUUUGAGAUUGUGCAUUCCAAAUAUUACAAUCUCCCUCAGUUUAGGAAGGUGACUCAAUGGUGGCAAUGCAUCACAAUUGUUACAAUCUUUCAAUGUGAUUUUCACCAAGUUCAUCAUCAUUGUAAUCCAUGAUGCAAAUUUCCGUCCCUUAAAGGAGACAACUGACAGUUCUUUCAAAUAUGUGUGAGGUCUUAAUCCUUCAAUCACAUCCUCGUUGUUGUAUUCUUUACCUUUCCUUUCAUCUUCGUUGUUGCUCCAGUCUAAGGGUAAACACUGAAUGUUAGAUUUUUCACAAAGCUUUGCUUUACUUGUUUCUUCCAUAUUUGACACAUCACUAAGACCAUAGAGAUCAAGUGUACCACCAAGAUUUUUAAGCCCUUCCGAUUGGCUAAGGAGACAAUUUCGUUUUCUACUGACAACAAAAUGAGGAAGUGUUUGAAGACAAGUCAAUCUUUGUAUCCCAAUAAACAUGUAUCUUGUGGAUAACUCUUCUGCAUAUUUCUUCUGAACAACAAGAUGCCUCAAGUUAAUAAGGUUGCAGACCUUCUCUGGAAGCUCAUUUAGAGCCCAAAUUCUCAAAGUUUGCAAGUUAUAGAGUUUCGUGAUGUAAUUUGGCAAUUUAUAGCUCUUGAAUCCGACAGAACUUGAGAUAUCAAGAUGUUUAAGGAAUUUCAUAUUCCCCAUUGAACUUGGCAACUCUUUAUAAUGUGAGUUCAAAACCAACACUCUCAGUUGCUUUAGGCUGGGUAACACGACACCGAGUACACAAGCCUGUGCAUACAGUGCUUGUAUAGAAUUGAAGUACACCGUAGAAAUCUUGUCAAAGGAUUUAUGAAUAGUCUUGAUCUUAUUAGCCACCUUAAAACGAUUUAAUAUGUUGUUUUUAGAAGGAACAAAGAAGUCCCUUACCCUGUGAUGAUUUUCCACCUUUUGUCGAAUAAUUUCAUAAGCAAGUUGAUCCAUAAAAACAUCAGCCACAUGUGCCACAGCUUUGAGUUUGCUGAACCAGGUUUGGACAGAAGACAUAUCUAGUUUCUUGGUAUAAGUAUCGGACAGGAGAGCAUCGAUAGAUUCCAGCCUUUCGCGCAGUGUCAACAGAUCUUCAGAAAGAUUCCAGGCCUGAAUAACUUUUUCAGUAGCAAGUGAAAUAAGCUUGCGAACCAGUCCGCUGGCUAGAUCAGCUACAAAUGCAUCAGCCAUCCUUCUAUCAAUUUCAGUUACCUGAUUAUAUCAUGAAUAUUUACAUGUAAAAAGAUUAGUAUUUGGGUAGUAAUGGUGUCUUCUUCAACUUUGGGCUAUCAAAAGUCAGAUGUAAUAUUAUUAUUGAAUUCUUUAUGCCCUCUUUGUCACAACUUUGAGCUACCAAGUGGUGAGUUGAAUAGAAAUUUAUCAAGUGGGGAAAGCUGAGGGCAAAGAAAGCCAAUCCAGCUAAAAGUCAAUAGCCUCCUAGAAGAUGGCAUCUUUACUCUUUACAUGCCAGGUGAGAAUCUUGAUCGACUAAAUCUAUAUUUAUAUUCAUUUAUUUUAUCGAAUUUAGAUUAGAUUAAUACUGGAUUUUUUACGGGCCGAUCCGAAUCCGUUGGAGACGGAGAUCUCGAACUCCACUCUGUAUGAUUUAUUUUAUUUUAAAGAAAAUUGAGUAGUUAUAAAAUUAUAAAAGACCAUUUAUCGUUUACAAUUGAACAAAACUUAAACCAAAAAUAUUUAAAAAGAAAAAUAAUAAAUGUAAAUUGAUGGUCAAUAUAGAUUCGAGAAUAUAAAUGAAAAAAAGCAUGAAAAUUGAGAAUGUAAAAUCUCUGAUGAGACUAUUUUGGAGCAAGUCUAUUGUCCUAAUAUAAAAAAAUGCUUGAUACCCAGACGACAGAAAACUUAGUUUCUCUUAUUUUUAUCUGUCGAAAAAGUACUUACUACAUUAUUACAUCUUUGAAGAAAGCAUUUGUAUCAGAAGUAUCCUUGACAUUUUCCAACUCUAUUGUAGCAUCAUCUUGUUCUUUGUUGUAAACAAAAAGGUUUGCAGCCAGAAGAAAAAACAAGAGGUUAAUAAAGCUCAAAACAGCAUAAAAUGUGUAGAAAUAGUCCAAGCGAGACACAUUCAAGUUGUCCAAAAAAUCCAGCCCUUGUGACCAUCCCUCUUAGUGAAAUCAGACACAGUUGUUAGAAUAAAACUGCUUAGAAAAUUCCCCAUACUCAAGCUAGUUGUAUAAUAGGCUGUGCCGAAGCUUUUCAUACUUUUCGGAGCUUGAUCAUAGAAGAAUUCAAGUCUCCCCACCUCCCAAAAUGUAUCAGCCACCCCCAUCAGGGCAUAUUGAGGAAGUAAUAUGAAUAUGCUGAGCGGAACAAUUUGAUUUUUCUUUGUAAUGCCAUGAUCUUCAAUCACAUUUAAUCGCUUCCGUUCACAAACUGAAGCAAUGAUCAUGAUGAUGACAUGCAUUACUAGGCCUAUUCCCAUUCUUUGCAGCAUUGGGAUCCCUCUUGGAUUUUUGGUGUAGCUUCGAAGCGUGGGAACCAGGAAUUUAUCAUAGAUCACAACAGUGAUCAGCAUAAAGAUUGUUAUGAAUGCUACAAGAGAUGCCGGGGGAAUACUGAAAUGAGGACCUAUGCUUCUAACAAGAGUGGUACCUUGCUUGAUGAAGAGUGUGUGUCCUUGAGCUAUCAGGGUGCUAGGUAAGAAUGAUACUAAUAAGAUUGGCACCAUUUUUACCAUUUGUUUUGUUUCUUCAACUUCAGUCACUGUGCACAGCAUCCAGUGAGGGCUCCGUCCAUCCACAACAGCUGCUUUAUCUAGUAUUCUGUGUAAAAGCAAAUGAUAGCUAAAACUUAAAAGUCGUACUUAGUGCACAAGACUCCGGUGUCAAAAGUAAAAAAGGAAACAGAGGACUAUAAACCUCUUCUUUGAUGAAUAAGAAAUACGACCUUAGUAAAGGAGAGUGUUCAAUUCUAUACUUUCCAGGUUUGGAAUAUUCAUCCAAAUUCAACUCAUGUAGUUCUUUUGGAUCAUCCGGGACAACCAACUUCCAUUUUCUAAUAGUGGCUAUAAGAACUCUAGCCAUCUUGGUCAAUGGGCUUCCAGAUGCAGGUUGGUGCCUAUAAUAAGGUGAGCCUGCUAGAAACACCAAUAUUGAUAAAAAGAGUCCGAUUGUUGGAAGACCAUAUCCAAGUCCCCAGCCUGCAUGAUCUUGUAUAUAGACUAGGAAAGUGCUGGCAAAAAGUGUGCCGAAGAAGAUACUAAAGACCCACCAAUUAAAGAAUGAUAUCUUCUGGGUUUUUUCGGUUGGCUCAAAUUCAUCAAAUUGAUCUGCACCCAUCGUUGAGAUGUUGGGCUUUGUCCCUCCAGUUCCGAGUGCAAUUAUGUACAAUGCACAGUAGAAAAUACCCACUUGAAAAGGUGAAGCUUGCUUGUUACAGUCCACGUCUGUUAUACUGUCACCGCAUGAUGGUGGCCGGAGAGAUUUUAAUGAAACUACUAGUGUCAGCAAGGACAUGCCCUGUUACACAACAAAUAUUUGAGCCCAGGCAAAGCAAUCAAAACGUAUACGUGAAACUUGCAAGCAAUUUUAUGUUUUCAUACCCCAAGAUAGAUGAAGGCUGAAAUGAUGAAAGUCCAGUAACGGCCAAGAUGAGCAUCCGCGAUGUAGGCACCUAGAAUGGGUGUCAGCCAGACAGUGCCAACCCAGUUGGUGACAUUGUUUGAAGACUUCACGGUGCCUUCAUGUAAUUUUCUUGUGAGAUAUAGCACUAGAUUUGUUGAUAUUCCAUAAAAUGCCAUCCUCUCAAAUGCUUCAUACCCUUCAAAAUCAUUCAUUAUACGAAAUAAAUUAGAAUAUCAAGCUGAAACUAUGUUCUUCACCUUAAUACAAAAUAGUACAUGAGUUGAAUGUGGUAAAUGUUCUAUUGGAUGAUAUCAGAAUUAUCAAAAGAAGCAAUAGAAUCUUGUUGACAUACCGACAAUGAAGGAGGUUGCUCUCCAUCUCCCUGUGUUUGAUCUUAACACAGGAUUACCCUUGAGGUCAACUGUUCCAUCUUUGGUGUACUCAUCAUCCCCUCUCGUCUUGCCAUUCUCUUCGACUACUCUUUCCAUUGUCAUUGUCAUCUCCCUGUGUUUGAUCUGAACACAGUUGAACGUGCAGCUCGAGUUUAUACUAGACAACCUCUGUCUACCUGCAUAUACAGUUAGCUACAAAUGAAAUGGUGGAUAAUAAUUGAAUCAUUAACAGUCUAACACUGAAGUCAGUUUUUAUAUCUGAAAUUCAACCCUUUUCUUAUCUAAAAUAUUCAUGCUGGUAAAAGAACAAAUACAAGUGUCCAGUAUCUGGGAGAGCUUUCAGUGCUUCCAAAUCAAUUCAUGCCCGAUCUGCAUGCGAGGAAUAUGUUGUAUCUUAAACCAUUCUGGCCCACUCUCCCUCCUGCAUCUUUCUUCUAGAAUAGUACAUUGAAAUAUUUUCAGGUACUGAAGGCUAUGUGACUCGUGAAACGUAGGCAAACUCUUCAAAUUAUUACAAUUCCAAAUACGUAACCGCUCAAGAGAUGGAAGCUUUGCCAGUGAUUCUGGAAGAGAUUUCACUCCUUCGAAAUCAUUUAUGUACAACAGAGUCAAUGCAGGGAACGUAGAGUAGAGACGAUCAUCAAGCUCCCCAUCCAGAAGUAUUGACCUAACCUUCUUCCGACCGAACAGGGUCAGUGAGGUCAGUUUAGGAAACCAAAUUACAGAAGAGAAGGAGGGCCAUGGAAAUUCGUUUAGUUCAUCCGAGAAGGGACCUAAUAUCAUCUUUUCAAGUCUUGACCUUGUACCAGGGACAAAUACUAAUUCUGAAAGAGAGGGGCAUCUCACAAUAAUAAGAUA